rnacentral:rRNA from 1 species
UACAGAGACUGCAAGCGUUAUCCGGAUUCACUGGGUUUAAAGGGUGCGUAGGUGGGUUGGUAAGUCAGUGGUGAAAUCCCCGAGCUUAACUUGGGAACUGCCAUUGAUACUAUUAAUCUUGAAUACCGUGGAGGUUAGCGGAAUAUGUCAUGUAGCGGUGAAAUGCUUAGAUAUGACAUAGAACACCAAUUGCGAAGGCAGCUGGCUACACGAAUAUUGACACUGAUGCACGAAAGCGUGGGGAUCAAACAGG